GAGCACUGUCUAGAAGACAAUUUGUUUCAAACCAAAGGAACAGGGUUUGGGCUUGGAAGAGGUCAUACAAGUGCACAAGGAGAAUUGUGUGGAAAAUCUGAAGUCAUAAAACCUUGUGUGACUACAGGACAGCAGGGAGGAACAACCUAUAAGGGGGCGUAUAUGGAGAGACCUGGCAC